GUAGCAAUGGAUGACUAAAUUACAUCAUGCACUGAAGAAAGCUUGAUUGAGGAACUUGUAAGCAAAAACAAAAUUUACAAGAUGAAACAAUUGCUCAAACCCUGCUCUUCACAUUUACUUGUGUAGCAUUUUGCGCUAUGGAAGAUAAUGGGUGUUAGAAGUGUAGUCAGAAGAACUUAGUUAAUGAGAGGCGAGUUUAAGAUGUCAUAAAUUGUUACCUAUAUUAAGACAUUACUUCUGUUUGAACUUAUUAAAACCAGGGAUCAAAUUUGAUCAACAAAACUUUGUAUCAUGCUGGAAAACAGUGACAGGCCAGGAAAUAUCUUAUGUAUCCGUGCUUCUUGGAGGUCAUAAUUCCACUUUUCAUACAUCAAUUUUCUGCAUUUCACCUUAUCAAGGAGAGAAGGAAUUAAUGGCUUUAGAAGAGUAGUCGAAAGAACUGAAUUAGUGGAGGCCAUAGAAAUGCAGAACCAGUUUAUCUCAUUUAUGGAAGAAGAAACUUUGUUGAGGGACUUGUAAAAAGAGAUAAUUUGCAAGAUGAAACAAGAGCUCAAUCCUAUUCUUAACAUUUUCCUGCAUUUUCCAAAACCAAACCCAGGGAAACUUUGAAGAGAGGAAGAAUGAGUUUUGUAGAGUAGCAGAAAGAACUCAAGAACUCGAUUAAUGAAGAAAACUUGAUUGAGGCACUUGUAAGCAAAGAGAAAAUCUACCAUAUGAAACCAGUGCUCAAUCCUUUGUCUACAUAUUUGCUUGCUUCAGAAUUUGUGCCUUAGAACAAAUAAGGAAGAGGAUGGACAAAUAUAGGAGAUUAUGUACUCAAAAGGACUCAAGUGAAGCUUCUCAAAUUACAGUGUCUAUGAAAUCCUUUGAUGAUUCAUUGUGAUAGAGAGGCAAGUUUAAGAUGUCAUGAAUUUCCUGAAGAAUCAAGGUUGACAAAUGAUGUCAUGAAUUUCAGCAAAACUUUCCUAUGUUAAGACAUUUGUUCGCUUUUAGCUAAUUGAAACCAGGCAUAAAAUUCCUUCCGCAAAACUUUUUGUCAUGCUGGAAAACAGUGACAGACCGGGAAAUAUCUUUUGUGUCUGUACGUCUUGAAGAUUUCAUCAAAAUUUAUUUUCUCAGUCCAGCAUUUCUCGUUAUCGAGGAGAGGAGGAAUUAAUGGCAUUAGAAGAGUGGUCCAUAGAACUCAAUUAGUGGAGUGAUCAUCAGAGUCAAUACUGGAGACUAUAGAACUGCAGGACCAAUUUAUCUCAUUUAAGGAAGCGCUUGUAAACAAAAAGAUGAUUUGCCAGAUGAAACAAGAGUUCAAUCCUGUUCUUAACAUUUCCCUGAGCAUUUUUCCAAAACCAAACUCCAGAACUUAGAAGAGAGGAAGAGUGGUUUUCAGAGAGUAGCCGAAAGAACUCUAUUAAUGGCCAUAGGAAUGGAGGGGAGAAUUACAUCAUUCACUGAAGAAAACUUGAUUGAGGCACUUGUAAGAAAACAGAAAAUUUAUCAGAUGAAACAAGUGUUCAAUCCCUGGCCUUCAACAUUCGCUUGCAUUUUGCAUUAUGGAAAAUGUGAAGAGUGGCAUUAGGAGAGUGGUUGAGAGAGCUCAGUCUCAGUUGAUGAGCUGAUUAAUUAGUUGUCUACCUAAGCUGAGAUUUUCCAAUUUCUGUAACUGAUUCGCUGAGGAAAUACACAAGGGAAAAGCAAUAAUUUUAGGACCAAUAAUAAUUAUCGUUCAAUGUCAGAAAUUGCCCUAUGAAACCAGUGCUACAUCUAUUGGAUUUCACAUUUUCUUGGUUCAUUAAAUAACUGUCAAUACCUUUCUCUUAUGCCAGGGAGCUUCUUCAGUUGCACUGAAUUCCCCAUAUGAAUUACUUCUAUGGUUCAUUGAGUAAAUUAUAUGACAGAUGUUGGUGGAAUGAGGUUGUUUUUGCAUUUCCUUUAUGGGCUUAAAAGUUAUUGAAUCAAGGCAUCAAAUUUCAUCUACGGAACUUUCUAUCAUCCUGUAAAUAUCUUCUAUGAGAGAUGUCCAUGCCUCUUAAAGUGUUUCGCUUUAUGGAAUAGAGGGAAAUGGCAUUGGUGAUAUUGAUAAGGGACUCUUUUUUUCGCUUAAUAUUUGCUUGUUUCAAAUUUCAUCAAAUUUUCGGGUUAUGGAAGAGAGGAAGAAUGUCGUGAGGAGAGUAGUCGAAAGAACUCAACUAAUGAACUGAAUACUAGCUGGGUUACCUAUGUUGAGAGUUUACAAUUAUGUGACAGUUCAAUGGCAAAAACUUCGUUGAGGCACUUGCUUGUGUGCUUUGCAACAAAUGAUCAUGGAAUGAUGAAUUUAUCGGGCUGGGGAAGUCAAACAUAAUUGUACAAGUUUGGUAGAUGAGAUAAAAUAUAAAUCAUUUUGAAGGUUAUUGUGACAAUACGACUAAAUUCAAUGGGAAGGUCUCAUCACCAAAUUAGCACGGUGAUUAUGGCUGAAGCAAUUGUUUCCAGUGUCCUGCAGCAACUCACUUCAAUCAUUGGUAAAGGGAUACAACAGGAGGUGAUUCUAGUCAUUGGUGCUGAAAAAGAAGUUAAAAAGCUUAGGAACAAUCUUCAAGCUGUGCUCAUUGAUGCAGAGGAAAGAAAAAGUGAAGGAGAGAAACGUCAGACUCUGGCUUCCCCUGCGGGCAUCUCAGGUUCCUUUGUUUUUAUCUUCGACGGAGUUGCAUUUCCAGUUGAAAUUUCAGUUGAUGUCGGUCCAGUGGUAGUUCUCAGCCACGUAUCAUAUAGGACAGUGGCCAGGACUUGAAACUGAAAAUACUGUAACAGCUACAGGUCCCAAACCCUUUUUAUUAAAAGUUGACGCCAUCAAAUCUGGCAACAAACGCCACCAUAAGAUAUUGUAAAGCAAAACAACAUUACAAAAGCUUUCUGCGUAAUUCUUACCAAGAACAAAUAAACUAUUGAGUAAUGAUAUAAGGAGUGGUCUGUACAUGAAUCAUUUAAUCAAAGACUCUAAGCUCUUGAUUGAUAGGAAGUCGCUUGAUUUACCCUUCUUUCAACAAUUUAUCAUUUGGGGUUACCACUUUUAUUUUUUGCCCGGAGUUGU